GAGAGAAGGAGACACAGAAUCCCAAGCAGGCUCCAGGCUCCGAGCCGUCCCCACAGAGCCCGACGCGGGGCUCGAACUCACGGAUCGUGAGAUCAUGACCUGAGCCGAAGUCGGACGCUCAACCGACUGAGCCACCCAGGCGCCCCUCAUAGUCCACGCUUUUAACCACUAGCUUCAUUUUUAUGCCUUUGUAAGACUGUUGUUAAGUUUCAGGGAAACAAAAAUCUUUUCUCAGAUUUUGGUGCAGAAAAAACCCAGCCUCCUUGCAUACAGUUUCAUACAUGGAUGAACACAUGGGGUCUGGAGGAAGGACACAUGCCCAGCGACUGGUCGGGGAGGAAUUGGACUCUCCAUCUGAGAUCUGCUUACCUUGGCAAUUAUCGGCUUGAGUCGGGAUGACAUUCGGGGCUAGACUGCCUCUGCAACAGUGUUCCCCAGAUUUGUGUGUUUGUCAAGCAGGUUCGCACUCUAGCCCGGCAUGAUCAUGAAAAAGAGAAGGGGACAUAAUAACCCUUUGGGCAGCAGUCCGGUGCCUGGGAUCUCGCCCAGCUCCAGAGCUGGUAAAUGCUGACAGAGACACGGUCGCACCACUGAUGGGAGCGUGAGGCACACACGGCUCUGAGACGGUCACACUCAUGAGAUCAACUGUUUAUUGAUUUUUUUCCUAAAAUACUAUCCAUUUAAAGAAACUCCUAACUGAAAAGACUUGACAAUUUUUGGUAGAUCUGUAGCAAAGGAAUGAGGAUUUCUGCUGGUAAGUUUUCAUGACAAAACAGACACACACCCACUUUCCAAGCAAGACCUCAAGCUCACUGGAAACGGUGAGAAAAUGCAUAGCUUGUGAUGGCAGCGGCCAUUCCAACAAUGUCUGAGUUACACAAAAUAAAGGUUUUCCCUCCUUCCCUCCCUCCCCUGCCCUGUCAUUACGGUGUGGCUCCUGCCCCAGCACGUCUGCUCCCGAUGACCACGGCUGCUCAGAAGAGACCCGCGUGCUCUGGGGUGAGACCCAGCUUUCGUGCACUCACGAGGAAUAAAGGAGGACUGUGGACCCUGCGGCUGCCGCAAAGACACGGGAGUUUGUACAGUGUUCUGCUACGGAAAGGACUAAGGCUAGUCAGAAGGUGGGACCCACAGCUGGCCGGCGAGGACACGCUUCCCCACAGCUGUCUCCACUGCAGAGGCCCAGGGCCGCGUCCCGAGCCCAGAGGAGGCCUGGCCCACCGGCCAGGCCUGUGCCCGAAUGUCACAGUCUUCAAGCAGUUCAGUUAAACCCACCGUCAAAAGCCGUUACGUCUCGUUAAAACAGUAGGCGAACUCUUUAGAUUCUCUGAAUAUCAAAUAAUAUAUACAGAUAUACACCGAGAGAAGACAGUCUGAUGUAAAGCAUCUUCGGCUACCAGAUGCGUGUGCUUGAAAAGUUAGUCUUACUUUUUAACCUUCCCAAUCACUGACAAAAUCGUUAACCGGCAAGAGUAGAAUCUUAAACACAAAUAGGAUGAAAA